UGGGGAAUAUUGGACAAUGGGCGAAAGCCUGAUCCAGCCAUGCCGCGUGUGUGAAGAAGGUCUUCGGAUUGUAAAGCACUUUAAGUUGGGAGGAAGGGCAGUAAGCGAAUACCUUGCUGUUUUGACGUUACCGACAGAAUAAGCACCGGCUAACUCUGUGCCAGCAGCCGCGGUAAUACAGAGGGUGCAAGCGUUAAUCGGAAUUACUGGGCGUAAAGCGCGCGUAGGUGGUUCGUUAAGUUGAAUGUGAAAGCCCCGGGCUCAACCUGGGAACUGCAUCCAAAACUGGCGAGCUAGAGUAGGGCAGAGGGUGGUGGAAUUUCCUGUGUAGCGGUGAAAUGCGUAGAUAUAGGAAGGAACACCAGUGGCGAGGGCGACCACCUGGGCUCAUACUGACACUGAGGUGCGAAAGCGUGGGGAGCAAACAGG
rnacentral:rRNA from 1 species